rnacentral:misc_RNA from 1 species
GGACUACCAGGGUUUCUAAUCCCUUUCGCUACCCUGGCCUUCGUGCCUCAGCGUCAGAUACUGUCCAGUGACUCGCUUACGCCACGAGUGUUCCUCUCGAUAUCCACGCAUUUCACUGCUACACCGAGAAUUCCAGUCACCUCUCCAGUCCUCUAGUCCGGCAGUAUCGGAUGCAGUUCCGGGGUUGAGCCCCGGGAUUUCACAUCUGACUUACCAAACCGCCUACGCACCCUUUACGCCCAGUGAUUCCGAACAACGCUUGGGACCUUCGUAUUACCGCGGCUGCUGGCAC